rnacentral:rRNA from 1 species
CCUACGGGGGGCAGCAGUGGGGAAUAUUGCACAAUGGGGGAAACCCUGAUGCAGCGACGCCGCGUGAGUGAAGAAGUAUUUCGGUAUGUAAAGCUCUAUCAGCAGGGAAGAAAAUGACGGUACCUGAGGAAGAAGCCCCGGCUAACGACGUGCCAGCAGCCGCGGUCAGACGUCGGGGGCAAGCGUUCUCCGGAUUUACUGGGUGUAAAGGGAGCGUAGACGGCAGCGCAAGUCUGAAGUGAAAUGCCGGGGCUUAACCCCGGAACGGCUUUGGAAACUGGGCAGCUAGAGUGCAGGAGAGCUAAGUGGGAUUCCUAGUGUAGCGGUGAAAUGCGUGCAUAUUAGGAGGAACACCAGUGGCGACGGCGGCUUACUGGACUGUAACUGACGUUGCGGCUCGAACGCGUGGGGAGCAAACAGGAUUAGAUACCCUAGUAGUC